rnacentral:rRNA from 1 species
UGGGGAAUCUUGGACAAUGGGCGCAAGCCUGAUCCAGCCAUGCCGCGUGAGUGAUGAAGGCCUUAGGGUCGUAAAGCUCUUUCGCCAGAGAUGAUAAUGACAGUAUCUGGUAAAGAAACCCCGGCUAACUCCGUGCCAGCAGCCGCGGUAAUACGGAGGGGGUUAGCGUUGUUCGGAAUUACUGGGCGUAAAGCGCACGUAGGCGGAUUGGAAAGUUGGGGGUGAAAUCCCGGGGCUCAACCCCGGAACUGCCUCCAAAACUAUCAAUCUAGAGUUCGAGAGAGGUGAGUGGAAUUCCGAGUGUAGAGGUGAAAUUCGUAGAUAUUCGGAGGAACACCAGUGGCGAAGGCGGCUCACUGGCUCGAUACUGACGCUGAGGUGCGAAAGUGUGGGGAGCAAACAGGAUUAGAUACCCUGGU